UCCAGUAAUGCAGCUAACGCAUUAAGCAUCCCGCCUGGGGAGUACGGUCGCAAGAUUAAAACUCAAAGGAAUAGACGGGGACCCGCACAAGCGGUGGAGCAUGUGGUUUAAUUCGAAGAUACACGAAGAACCUUACCUAGGCUUGACAUUGAGAGAAUCCGCUAGAAAUAGUGGAGUGUCUGGCUUGCCAGACCUUGAAAACAGGUGCUGCACGGCUGUCGUCAGCUCGUGUCGUGAGAUGUUGGGUUAAGUCCCGCAACGAGCGCAACCCCCUUUCUUAGUUGCUAACAGGUCAUGCUGAGAACUCUAAGGAUACUGCCUCCGUAAGGAGGAGGAAGGUGGGGACGACGUCAAGUCAUCAUGGCCCUUACGCCUAGGGCUACACACGUGCUACAAUGGGGUGCACAAAGAGAAGCAAUACUGCGAAGUGGAGCCAAUCUUCAAAACACCUCUCAGUUCGGAUUGUAGGCUGCAACUCGCCUGCAUGAAGCUGGAAUCGCUAGUAAUCGCAAAUCAGCCAUGUUGCGGUGAAUACGUUCCCGGGUCUUGUACUCACCGCCCGUCACACCAUGGGAGUUGUGUUUGCCUUAAGUCAGGAUGCUAAAUUGGCUACUGCCCACGGCACACACA
rnacentral:rRNA from 1 species